rnacentral:rRNA from 1 species
GGUCAAGUUAUUAAGGGUGCAGGGCGGAUGCCUUGGCACUAGGAGCCGAUGAAGGACGUGAUAAGCUGCGAUAAGCUUCGGGGAGUUGCACGUAAACUUUGAUCCGAAGAUUUCCGAAUGAGGAAACUCACUUAGAGUAAUGUCUAAGUAUCAUUAAGUGAAUACAUAGCUUAAUGAGGGGAACUCAGGGAACUGAAACAUCUAAGUACCUGAAGGAAGAGAAAGAAAUUCGAUUCCGUAAGUAGCGGCGAGCGAACGCGGAUUAGCCCAAACCAAUAAAGUUUUCUUUAUUGGG